AUUUUCUAUUUUUACCAGGAAACUAUAUUUGACAUUUUUGACAGUCAUUUUUCGUUAAUCUUGUCCAAAUUCCCAGUAAGAAUGACGACAGAAGCAAACGAGCAGUUUUAUUACAAUUUAAUGUUAGCCAAGGCAUUAGUGCAACUAAUGCCAGCAACUGAUCGGCAACACAUAAGAAUAUGGUUCGAUGUCCUUGCAGAUCUCGACUCAAGUGAGCAAGAACUGGCGAUUAGAAACGAAUACAUUUGGUUUAUUCUUCUCAUGUUACAAAACAACAAAAUUGAAGAAUAUUUUAAAGAUUUACCACCGAGGAAAGUUUUGCCUCUUCGCAAAGUUCUACCCCAGAAAGUCAUCGAUGAUGUUUUAAUAACUUGCGAUCAGAAUAUGUCGUGGCUGGAUACAGUUACCGAUGAUGAGAAAGAAAAAAAUUUGGACAAAAAGAAAAUUCCACCCGAAAUGUUUUUAAAUAGCCAACCGCUCCCUAAAGAAGGUGUUAUCUCUUAUUUUGGAGCUUUCAGUGACCACUCGUAGGCCACACGAGCUAGUUAACAAUGCCAUCUCUAACUAAAUUUAGGAAUUAAUUAAAUAUUUGCUGAGUUUGGUCUUGUAAUACAUUGACCUCAAGAAAAUGCGUCGCUAUCCAGCUGGUCGUAAAUUCUCACAUUUUUCCUGCUUUAAUAACAUAUUUUUGUGGUUCUUGCUUUUAAGAUUUGUGUUUAAGAAGGAAUACGAUUUAAUUUUUUGUAUAAAAAGCUUGUCUGAUCAAUUUUUCAAUAAAUUGUGGUAAAACAA